AGAAGUAGAGCACCAAACCUUGUGUCAUCUGCGGCAAGCCUCACAAGGUUUAUGAGUGCCCAAAACUGUCACGCCCCCGCCCCGAAACCCCUACCAAUUUGGCACGGUUCGGGCGCGGCGAACGGACGCCGAACGGGCAGCAACUCCCCUGCUCGCCCAAGGCUCACAACCUGAUCAUGUACAAGAAUUUACCUAGGAAAAUUAAAUUCAUACAUACAUGAUCAACGAGGCACAAAUAGUGCCAACAACGAAGAGCAAGUAAUCCACAAGAUACACAAGUGAAAAAAAAAAGAGAACUACUAACUAUUACAUCGCAUUUGCAUUCUUUAUGCAAUUACAUUUUCUUUCCCAAAAUGAAUACAUGUCUACUAAUGUCAUCAAAAUACAUAGCUCUCCAAAGUCUUCACCUACAUGAAUCUCUCUCAAGUACGUAGGUGUGCUAAUGCAAAAGGAAAGCUACUACUCUACCAAUAAUCCUCACUGGUCGGGUGCGAUGCCCUUGCCGCGGUCCUCGCCCGGCAAACCUGUACCUAGCCCUGGAAAUAGAGUGGGGUGAGAACUAUCUUCCAUAGUUCCCAGUGGGCUCGGCAGCCAACUUCGCCGAUCUCCCCACUAGGUCCAAAUGGGCAAGAGUAACAACGAAACAGAUAGAUAUAUAUAUCAAAGUUAUAAAGACAUAAUAAGAAAACUAUGCUACUAUGCCCAUAAUCAUGUGAAAUGAAUGCAUGCAUCAAUUAGUAAAAGUUUACUAUCAUGCUAACAAGUUCGAUCCAUGUUCGAUAAGCAAUGUUCGAUGACAAUAUUAACUUUUCAUUUACCCAAUCUGUGGCGAAACCCUUGGGUUUGCCUACGCCUCACAUAUCCAUCCCAUUGGGUAAGGAGGCUCCAUGUGGCCCCCAACCCGGGACUGUCUGCGGACAUCAACUCUGUCCUAAUCGCCCGACACUCCGGAGUACUCGACGACAAUCCUCUCCAUGUGAGGAUAUGGAUAGCUUUACCACCCUGAAUAACAGACCGUGAAUUUGAUCUAUCCUCUCCACGUGAGGAUACCCUACGAACUAGGGCCAACAUUUCUCUCGGAACUCACCUAUUCCGACAUUCAUGCAUAGUUACUUAGCUCUACUAAGUUCAUUGUUCACGAGUCAUUUUCUAGGGAAUCCACCUAUCCCUAAAUUCACGAAUACCUCUAGUGUCAAAUACACUACAUAAAGCCACUCGUUCUGUUCUUUAAAUAUUUAGAUGCCAC
rnacentral:lncRNA from 1 species